ACUAACCGCAGACGUCGCGACCUGUUCGCGGUCGGUCGCUGAGCCACGUUCGAGCUCGUUGUGUGCGUGUUUCGGCGCGUCACACGGCGAAGGCGUGGAUUUCUGGCUGGCCGUCGGACAGUAUGCUAAACGGUGUCCGGUGUCGUCGUCUGCGCGGCAUCGGUACCGGUCAGCGACGAAUUCUUCGGGCCUCUUUCCGACCCGUCUUGAAACACGGACCAAGGAGUCUAACAUGCGCGCGAGUCGCGGGGUAUCGAGCGUACUUCGGUGCGUUCGUUAUGUUGCGAAACCCGUACAUGUCGAAGGCGUAAUGAAAGUGAAUGGGGAAGAUGGUGGUCCGAGUACACGUUCCGCGAUCGUCGGUAUCGCGGCCGGUCACCCGCAUUCCCAGGGCGUCUCAACGGCCCGUCGCUGAUGCGGACAGUCGUCUUUCGGGGCGGCUGUCGGUCGGCGACGAACCGAGGCGCACCUAUAGCGUGCACGUUGGUACCCGAAAGAUGGUGAACUAUGCCUGGCCAGGAUGAAGUCAGGGGAAACCCUGAUGGAGGUCCGCAGCGAUUCUGACGUGCAAA
rnacentral:rRNA from 1 species